rnacentral:rRNA from 1 species
UACAGAGGUGGCAAGCGUUGUUCGGAAUUACUGGGCGUAAAGGGCGCGUAGGCGGCCAUCUAAGUCAGACGUGAAAUCCCUCGGCUUAACCGGGGAACUGCGUCUGAUACUGGAUGGCUUGAGAUUGGGAGAGGGAUGCGGAAUUCCAGGUGUAGCGGUGAAAUGCGUAGAUAUCUGGAGGAACACCGGUGGCGAAGGCGGCAUCCUGGACCAACACUGACGCUGAGGAGCGAAAGCCAGGGGAGCAAACGGG